AUAAAUGAUAAUACUUCUAUUUUAAAAUAUUGAAAAUAUUCAUAAUUGAAAUAGAAACCAUACAUGGAAAACCAUCCACUUUCCAAUGAUUUACAAACACAUAUAUUAGUUUUUCAAUUUCCUUUAUUAAAAACUUAGAAAUUAUAUUUUAUUACUUUUUUUGUUUGCCAUGUAUAGUUUCUAUGGUUUUCUGAAUUUAUUUGUUUGAUUCAUAUUACAUUCUUGGUAAUGCAAAGCAUAGAUGAAUGUCUACAAUAUGGCUAUCCUUGAAAUGUAAACAAAUGAAUUAGGCAUUGGAAGUAGGCAAAACUUGACCCUUAUCAGAAAGGAUGUAUCAUGGUCAUGUAAAAUUAUCACUUCUCAUAUCUAAUUUUAAUUUUUUAACAUGACGUCAAUUUAAACAAUAACAAUCAGCAUAAUGUUCAUCAUGAUAAAAUGUUUGCAAAUUUUAACUUUAUAUUUACCAAAAGUUGUAAGUUCUUUUCUUUCAUCACUUCAAUGUUUACAAGUAUUACAAGAACUAUGUGAGAGUUUAUAAUAUAAAUACCAAACAUCACUUACACAAGUAUAUUGUGAAGAUGAUACUCAGAUAAUUAUUGGAGAAAGGAUGUAGAACAACAAUGCAACAUAAAUUUUAAGUGCAAAAAUGCAAAAAAUCAAAAUAAAACAAUAGUGAAAAAAAACAUAAAGACAAAAAAUCAUGUAGAACCGAAUCAUCUUUAUUUGCUAUUUUUUUAUUUAAAAAAUUACAUUGGUCUUCAACACAACGUUGCAAUGAUUGUGAAUCUGCAAAAACACGGUAAAAAACACAAUGAAAAAAAUAAUUGUUUAUAUUAAUUUUAUUCAAUAUUAACAGUGAAGCAAGCAUGGCUUGCACUAUCAAAUAAAUUGUAAACAAAGCUAUAAUGCUGAGAAUGUGUUGCACUUUUCAAUUAUAUAUUUAUUUCACAAUAUACAGCGCAAAGUAUUCAAGAUAAUAGUGUAAACAAAUAAUAGCUGGUAGUAUGAAAAAGUCAUCAAAAUGAUUGAAUAAAUGCUACAAAAAUAUCAACAAGAGUUACUCAAUUAUUAAAUUUUAAAGCACUAUUUAAAUCGAUUUCCAUGUUUGUCUUAGUAAUUUGUAUAUUAUCAUUUUUUUUUGUAAUUAUUUUGAAAGAGCCUAUCAAGGUGCCUAUUAAAAUGAUUACUAAAAAAAAAGUGUGGUGAUACUUAAAACACCGAAAUUAACAAAUAAUAAUGAAUUAGGUUUUUACAUAUUUAUAAGUUUUGUCUAAAACGAAGCAGUAGGUAUUAUUCUAAAUCAUAUGGUUAUAAACUCUUGUCAUGCAAUAGUCAAAUAAUUAUGCUUAUAUAUAUAUAUAUAUAUAUAUAUGUAUAUUCCCACAUUUGUAAAUUGGUUGAUUGAUUGAUUUGAAGUUAAAGUUCUCUUUUUUUUUUUUUUUAUCUUCAUGAAAAUCUACUAUGAAUGUUUUAAAACGUUAGUGAUGCCACCAAAAUUAUUAUUAUUACACGAUUGUUUGAGUGAUCCUACAAAAUCACAACUAGUUUUACCAUCAUAAUUGAUGGUAAAUGAAUAAAUAAACAGCUAAUUAUUGUGAAAUAUUACUGCAUGAAUGCUUGUGUGUUUUUUGGAAAAGAAUAUGUUAUUUUUUCAAAAUUUAUUAAUUAAUGGAAAUUUGAGUACUUUCGAUGAACAAAAUAAACCAGUUACAAUAGAAAAAAUCAUUGUGUUGUAUCUGCAUCUUAAAAUUAAAUGUAUUCCACAAAUCUGGGUCUUCCUUAUCAUAAUAAAGACAUUUGAUUUUUACAUGUCAC
rnacentral:lncRNA from 1 species